rnacentral:rRNA from 1 species
GAUGAACGCUGGCGGCGUGCCUAAUACAUGCAAGUCGAGCGAACGGACGAGAAGCUUGCUUCUCUGAUGUUAGCGGCGGACGGGUGAGUAACACGUGGAUAACCUACCUAUAAGACUGGGAUAACUUCGGGAAACCGGAGCUAAUACCGGAUAAUAUUUUGAACCGCAUGGUUCAAAAGUGAAAGACGGUCUUGCUGUCACUUAUAGAUGGAUCCGCGCUGCAUUAGCUAGUUGGUAAGGUAACGGCUUACCAAGGCAACGAUGCAUAGCCGACCUGAGAGGGUGAUCGGCCACACUGGAACUGAGACACGGUCCAGACUCCUACGGGAGGCAGCAGUAGGGAAUCUUCCGCAAUGGGCGAAAGCCUGACGGAGCAACGCCGCGUGAGUGAUGAAGGUCUUCGGAUCGUAAAACUCUGUUAUUAGGGAAGAACAUAUGUGUAAGUAACUGUGCACAUCUUGACGGUACCUAAUCAGAAAGCCACGGCUAACUACGUGCCAGCAGCCGCGGUAAUACGUAGGUGGCAAGCGUUAUCCGGAAUUAUUGGGCGUAAAGCGCGCGUAGGCGGUUUUUUAAGUCCGAUGUGAAAGCCCACGGCUCAACCGUGGAGGGUCAUUGGAAACUGGAAAACUUGAGUGCAGAAGAGGAAAGUGGAAUUCCAUGUGUAGCGGUGAAAUGCGCAGAGAUAUGGAGGAACACCAGUGGCGAAGGCGACUUUCUGGUCUGUAACUGACGCUGAUGUGCGAAAGCGUGGGGAUCAAACAGGAUUAGAUACCCUGGUAGUCCACGCCGUAAACGAUGAGUGCUAAGUGUUAGGGGGUUUCCGCCCCUUAGUGCUGCAGCUAACGCAUUAAGCACUCCGCCUGGGGAGUACGACCGCAAGGUUGAAACUCAAAGGAAUUGACGGGGACCCGCACAAGCGGUGGAGCAUGUGGUUUAAUUCGAAGCAACGCGAAGAACCUUACCAAAUCUUGACAUCCUUUGACAACUCUAGAGAUAGAGCCUUCCCCUUCGGGGGACAAAGUGACAGGUGGUGCAUGGUUGUCGUCAGCUCGUGUCGUGAGAUGUUGGGUUAAGUCCCGCAACGAGCGCAACCCUUAAGCUUAGUUGCCAUCAUUAAGUUGGGCACUCUAAGUUGACUGCCGGUGACAAACCGGAGGAAGGUGGGGAUGACGUCAAAUCAUCAUGCCCCUUAUGAUUUGGGCUACACACGUGCUACAAUGGACAAUACAAAGGGCAGCGAAACCGCGAGGUCAAGCAAAUCCCAUAAAGUUGUUCUCAGUUCGGAUUGUAGUCUGCAACUCGACUACAUGAAGCUGGAAUCGCUAGUAAUCGUAGAUCAGCAUGCUACGGUGAAUACGUUCCCGGGUCU